UACGGAGGAGGCAAGCGUUAUCCGGAAUUAUUGGGCGUAAAGCGUCCGCAGGUGGCGAUUCAAGUCUGCGGUCAAAGACUGGGGCUUAACCCUGGAAAGGCCGUGGAAACUGAAUAGCUAGAGUGCAGUAGGGGUAGAGGGAAUUCCCGGUGUAGCGGUGAAAUUCGUAGAUAUUCGCAAGAACACCAGUGGCGAAGGCGGCUCACUGGCCCGGUACUGACGCUGAGGCACGAAAGCGUGGGGAGCAAACAGG
rnacentral:rRNA from 1 species